AACGAACGCUGGCGGCAUGCCUAACACAUGCAAGUCGAACGAGCCCUUCGGGUCUAGUGGCGCACGGGUGCGUAACGCGUGGGAACCUGCCCUUAGGUUCGGAAUAACUCCCCGAAAGGGGUGCUAAUACCGGAUAAUGUCUUCGGACCAAAGAUUUAUCGCCUUUGGAUGGGCCCGCGUUGGAUUAGCUAGUUGGUAGGGUAAAAGCCUACCAAGGCGACGAUCCAUAGCUGGUCUGAGAGGAUGAUCAGCCACACUGGGACUGAGACACGGCCCAGACUCCUACGGGAGGCAGCAGUGGGGAAUAUUGGACAAUGGGCGAAAGCCUGAUCCAGCAAUGCCGCGUGAGUGAUGAAGGCCUUAGGGUUGUAAAGCUCUUUUACCUGGGAUGAUAAUGACAGUACCGGGAGAAUAAGCGCCGGCUAACUCCGUG
rnacentral:rRNA from 1 species